rnacentral:rRNA from 1 species
UACAGAGGGGGCAAGCGUUAUUCGGAAUUAUUGGGCGUAAAGGGCGCGUAGGCGGCUUGGCAAGUGGAUGGUGAAAUCCCUCGGCUUAACCGAGGAACUGCCGUCCAAACUGCUUUGCUUGAGACCGGGAGAGGUGAGUGGAAUUCCCAGUGUAGCGGUGAAAUGCGUAGAUAUUGGGAGGAACACCAGUGGCGAAGGCGGCUCACUGGACCGGUACUGACGCUGAUGCGCGAAAGCGUGGGGAGCAAACGGG